rnacentral:rRNA from 1 species
CCUACGGGCUGCACCAGUGGGGAAUAUUGCACAAUGGGCGCAAGCCUGAUGCAGCCAUGCCGCGUGUAUGAAGAAGGCCUUCGGGUUGUAAAGUACUUUCAGCGGGGAGGAAGGCGAUAAGGUUAAUAACCUUGUCGAUUGACGUUACCCGCAGAAGAAGCACCGGCUAACUCCGUGCCAGCAGCCGCGGUAAUACGGAGGGUGCAAGCGUUAAUCGGAAUUACUGGGCGUAAAGCGCACGCAGGCGGUCUGUCAAGUCAGAUGUGAAAGCCCGGGGCUUAACCUCGGAAUUGCAUUUGAAACUGGCAGGCUAGAGUCUUGUAGAGGGGGGUAGAAUUUCAGGUGUAGCGGUGAAAUGCGUAGAGAUCUGAAGGAAUACCAGUGGCGAAGGCGGCCCCCUGGACAAAGACUGACGCUCAGAUGCGAAAGCGUGGGGAGCAAACAGGAUUAGAUACCCCCGUAGUC